ACUCCUACGGGAGGCAGCAGUGGGGAAUAUUGCACAAUGGGCGCAAGCCUGAUGCAGCCAUGCCGCGUGUGUGAAGAAGGCCUUCGGGUUGUAAAGCACUUUCAGUCGUGAGGAAGGUAGUGUAGUUAAUAGCUGCAUUAUUUGUACGUUAGCGACAGAAGAAGCACCGGCUAACUCCGUGUCAGCAGCCGCGGUAAUACGGAGGGUGCGAGCGUUAAUCGGAAUUACUGGGCGUAAAGCGCAUGCAGGUGGUUUGUUAAGUCAGAUGUGAAAGCCCGGGGCUCAACCUCGGAAUAGCAUUUGAAACUGGCAGACUAGAGUACUGUAGAGGGGGUAGAAUUUCAGGUGUAGCGGUGAAAUGCGUAGAGAUCG
rnacentral:rRNA from 1 species